UACGGGGGGGGUAAGCGUUGUUCGGAAUUACUGGGCGUAAAGGGCGCGUAGGCGGACUCUUAAGUCGGUGGUGAAAUCCUGGAGCUCAACUCCAGAACUGCCUCCGAUACUGGGAGCCUUCGAGUCCGGGAGAGGUGAGUGGAACUGCGAGUGUAGAGGUGAAAUUCGUAGAUAUUCGCAAGAACACCAGUGGCGAAGGCGGCUCACUGGCCCGGUACUGACGCUGAGGUGCGAAAGCGUGGGGAGCAAACAGG
rnacentral:rRNA from 1 species